UUCACUGACCCUCUUAGACAGCCUCAUUUUUUAACCAGGGCGGUCUUGAAAUUUGGGGGCCCGGGACAGAACUUAAACUCAGGGCCCCUUGAUAUAACUACCAUUUGUGUGUUUGGUCAUGUCAAUUGCCUGAAAAUGGCAAUGCUCAAUUUUCCUGUAUAAAUAAGCAACACACAGAGUACGUGUCGAAUAUGAUUGUGGGUGCCGUGUGAUGCAGGGUUCCCGGUGCCGAAGAAUAGGCAUAGAGGAGUGACUGGGGCGGCGGACUGACGGAGGAGAUGGUAUAACGACCAUAGGGAUUGGGAUCACACAGGUCGGGAAUUGGAGCAGGUGAGGGAGGAGAUCAGAGGUGAGGAAGGAGAGGGGUAGGUGAGAUGCAGAGAAAGGGGUGAGAGCAAUCCAGCAUUCUCAUACAGCCUCAUUUUUUCUGAAAAUUAAUUACAAUGAGAGAGGCUCCCACUGACUUUCUGUUAAGUUAUCAAGUUAUCAGAUCCCAAAGUAAUCACAAAUUACAUGAGUUAGAGGUGCUAAGUACUAUAUAUGUAGCCAUAUAGCCUUUCGUAUUUAUCCUAUUGUAUAAGGAGUUCUCUACAUAUUACAAACCUGUACAUGCAUAUAUACUGGCAUAUGGCCUCCUGGAAAUAUAAGUUGCAUAUUUCCUAACACGGUAUUAGAGCUAGGUCAAUUUUUUGCACGUCGCAACUCGUGUUGUUGAUCCGUUUUGUGUCGUCGUUCCUCCAUGGCCGUCACUCGUUGCUACUGACUCUCGACGCCUGCUCUUGUCCCCCUGCAGGUCAAGGCCAAGCUCAGCGCCAUCUCGCUGGAUCCAGUUGCGAGUCCACCCGUCCGUAGGUCCUUCUCUGGAUCGGUCGCGCCGUAGGGCACGAUCAGUGGCCGACUGUUUCCCUCUGGAUCUGGUGCUCUUCUCUGGUCAUCCCUCGAGCAUGGAUUGGAUCGCCUCGCCCCGUCAUCUUCCGCUCGCGCACACGGAUCGGAUCACCCCGCCCCAUCAUCUUCCGCUUGACCACGACUGUCGCCCUCUGCCGUCGGGCCUCCUCUGGAUCGAAUCAGUCGCGCCUCCUUGGAUUGCUGUUGCUGGUUCCUCUGCCUCGCUGCAAGCACAGGGAUCUUGCUGCUCCCCGCCAGGACCUCCGCCCCUCGUCGAAGAUCCCGCCGCCCCUCGUCGGACCUUGUUGAGCGUUGCUGGUCUCUGUUGUCCUCGCCUGAUCCCGCCCCUGCUACUGGUUCUGAUCGCCCCUGGUGCCAUCGGGAGCGCUGACUGUAGUUGGCCUUCUCUGCACUG
rnacentral:lncRNA from 1 species